rnacentral:rRNA from 1 species
UACGUAGGGGGCGAGCGUUAUCCGGAAUCACUGGGCGUAAAGCGUCUGUAGGUGGUGAUGCAAGUCACUGGUGCAAAACUCUGGCUCAACCGGAGGAAAGCCAGUGAAACUGCAUGACUAGAGUGUGGGAGAGGUAGAAGGAAUUCCCUGAGUAGCGGUGAAAUGCGUAGAUACAGGGAAGAACACCGGAGGCGAAAGCGUUCUACUGGAACACAACUGACACUGAGAGACGAAAGCUAGGGGAGCGAAUGGG